rnacentral:rRNA from 1 species
CUGGCGGCAGGCCUAACACAUGCAAGUCGAGCGGUAGCACAGAGAGCUUGCUCUCGGGUGACGAGCGGCGGACGGGUGAGUAAUGUCUGGGAAACUGCCUGAUGGAGGGGGAUAACUACUGGAAACGUAGCUAAUACCGCAUAACGUCGCAAGACCAAAGUGGGGGACCUUCGGGCCUCAUGCCAUCAGAUGUGCCCAGAUGGGAUUAGCUAGUAGGUGGGGUAACGGCUCACCUAGGCGACGAUCCCUAGCUGUCUGAGAGGAUGACCAGCCACACUGGAACUGAGACACGGUCCAGACUCCUACGGGAGGCAGCAGUGGGGAAUAUUGCACAAUGGGCGCAAGCCUGAUGCAGCCAUGCCGCGUGUAUGAAGAAGGCCUCGGGUUGUAAAGUACUUUCAGCGGGGAGGAAGGCGAUAAGGUUAAUAACCUUGUCGAUUGACGUUACCCGCAGAAGAAGCACCGGCUAACUCCGUGCCAGCAGCCGCGGUAAUACGGAGGGUGCAAGGUUAAUCGGAAUUACUGGGCGUAAAGCGCACGCAGGCGGUCUGUCAAGUCGGAUGUGAAAUCCCCGGGCUCAACCUGGGAACUGCAUUCGAAACUGGCAGGCUAGAGUCUUGUAGAGGGGGGUAGAAUCCAGGUGUAGCGGUGAAAUGCGUAGAGAUCUGGAGGAAUACCGGUGGCGAAGGCGGCCCCCUGGACAAAGACUG